GACGAACGCUGGCGGCAGGCUUAACACAUGCAAGUCGAACGGGCGUAGCAAUACGUCAGUGGCAGACGGGUGAGUAACGCGUGGGAACGUACCUUUUGGUUCGGAACAACCCAGGGAAACUUGGGCUAAUACCGGGAUAAGCCCUUACGGGGAAAGAUUUAUCGCCGAAAGAUCGGCCCGCGUCUGAUUAGGCUAGUUGGUGUGGUAACGGCGCACCAAGGCGACGAUCAGUAGCUGGUCUGAGAGGANGAUCAGCCACAUUGGGACUGAGACACGGCCCAAACUCCUACGGGAGCAGCAGUGGGGAAUAUUGGACAAUGGGCGCAAGCCUGAUCCAGCCAU
rnacentral:rRNA from 1 species